UACGUAGGUGGCAAGCGUUAUCCGGAUUUAUUGGGUGUAAAGGGCGUGUAGGCGGGAGCGCAAGUCGGAUGUGAAAACUCAGGGCUCAACCCUGAGCCUGCAUUUGAAACUGUGUUUCUUGAGUGCUGGAGAGGCAAUCGGAAUUCCGUGUGUAGCGGUGAAAUGCGUAGAUAUACGGAGGAACACCAGUGGCGAAGGCGGAUUGCUGGACAGUAACUGACGCUGAGGCGCGAAAGCGUGGGGAGCAAACAGG
rnacentral:rRNA from 1 species